AAAUAGCGAACGCACUUUUGGGUAAUUAUGCGAUAUUUUGAUCGAUAUGACAACGAAAAAGAGCUCACCACUAACAAAACAGCUGACAUUAAAGUGCGCCAAGAUGAGCCAAAAAACUCGCAAGCCGUCAAUAUCGUGGAGUGGCAUCCACGAGGCUAUGUUGUUCGAGUUGUGGGAGGAGAAUUUGACGGCAUUGAGGUCUGCGCAAAAAAACACGCACAUAUUCAAACGUAUGUGUGAGAAGUUAUUGGCGGCAGGCUUCAAUGUAGAGUGGAAGGAUGUAAGGACCAAGAUAGACAAUUUGACCAAAAAAAUAUAAAAAUGAAAUUAAGAAGCGAGGUCCAACUGGCGGUGCGCCAUCGCAGUGGCAACAUUUUGCCAAGGUCCACAGAAUCUUGUCAGCGGUGAAGUCAAUAAAUUUUGAAGAAUGCAUCCUCGAUAGCUUGGAUCCCGAUGAAGGAAAGUGGGAUAGAUUCAUGUCGUCUAUUUCAAAUCGUUGGCGCAGGCAGUCCAGUCCUGCGCUAGCUGAACCGUGUGACUCGAAUGAUUUAUACUCGGGUGAUUCUAACAUCAUCCUUUUUGGAGUUGAUGAUGUAGGUAGUACUGUGCUAAGUCAGCCACUACCGCAAAAUACUGUGCUUGAAGCACCGACCGACGCAAAUAGCGUAAUAUUUGAAGAAAGCUCAUCUGGCACAUUACUACCUUCAUCAAGU